rnacentral:rRNA from 1 species
GGUACACGAGCGGCGAACGGGUGAGUAACACGUGGGUGAUCUGCCCUGCACUCUGGGAUAAGCUUGGGAAACUGGGUCUAAUACCGGAUAUGACCACAUGCCGCAUGUUUUGUGGUGGAAAGAUUUAUCGGUGCAGGAUGGGCCCGCGGCCUAUCAGCUUGUUGGUGGGGUAAUGGCCUACCAAGGCGACGACGGGUAGCCGACCUGAGAGGGUGACCGGCCACACUGGGACUGAGACACGGCCCAGACUCCUACGGGAGGCAGCAGUGGGGAAUAUUGCACAAUGGGCGGAAGCCUGAUGCAGCGACGCCGCGUGAGGGAUGAAGGCCUUCGGGUUGUAAACCUCUUUCAGCAGGGACGAAGCGUGAGUGACGGUACCUGCAGAAGAAGCACCGGCUAACUACGUGCCAGCAGCCGCGGUAAUACGUAGGGUGCGAGCGUUGUCCGGAAUUACUGGGCGUAAAGAGUUCGUAGGCGGUUUGUCGCGUCGUUUGUGAAAACCCGGGGCUCAACUUCAGGCUUGCAGGCGAUACGGGCAGACUUGAGUGUUUCAGGGGAGACUGGAAUUCCUGGUGUAGCGGUGAAAUGCGCAGAUAUCAGGAGGAACACCGGUGGCGAAGGCGGGUCUCUUGGGAAACAACUGACGCUGAGGAACGAAAGCGUGGGUAGCCAACAGGAUUAGAUACCCUGGUAGUCCACGCCGUAAACGGUGGGCGCUAGGUGUGGGUUCCUUCCACGGGAUCUGUGCCGUAGCUAACGCAUUAAGCGCCCCGCCUGGGGAGUACGGCCGCAAGGCUAAAACUCAAAGGAAUUGACGGGGGCCCGCACAAGCGGCGGAGCAUGUGGAUUAAUUCGAUGCAACGCGAAGAACCUUACCUGGGUUUAACAUACACCGGAAAACGGUAGAGAUACGGUUCCCCUUGUGGUCGGUGUACAGGUGGUGCAUGGCUGUCGUCAGCUCGUGUCGUGUGAUGUUGGGUUAAGUCCCGCAACGAGCGCAACCCUUGUCUUAUGUUGCCAGCACGUAAUGGUGGGGACUCGUAAGAGACUGCCGGGGUCAACUCGGAGGAAGGUGGGGACGACGUCAAGUCAUCAUGCCCCUUAUGUCCAGGGCUUCACACAUGCUACAAUGGCCAGUACAGAGGGCUGCGAGACCGUGAGGUGGAGCGAAUCCCUUAAAGCUGGUCUCAGUUCGGAUCGGGGUCUGCAACUCGACCCCGUGAAGUCGGAGUCGCUAGUAAUCGCGGAUCAGCAACGUUGCGGUGAAUACGUUCCCGGGCCUUGUACACACCGCCCGUCACGUCAUGAAAGUCGGUAACACCCGAAGCCGGUGGCCUAACCCUUGGGGAGGGAGCUGUCGAAGGU